GAAAUGCGAUAAGUAAUGUGAAUUGCAGAAUUCAGUGAAUCAUCGAUUCUUUGAACGCACCUUGCGCUCCUUGGUAUUCCUUGGAGCAUGCCUGUUUGAGUAUCAUGAAAUCUUCAAAGUAAAUCUUUUGUUAACUCAAUUGGUUUCUACUUUGGUAUUGGAGGUCUUUGCAGCUUCACACCUGCUCCUCUUUGUUCAUUAGCUGGAUCUCAGUGUUAUGCUUGGUUCCACUCGGCGUGAUAAGUUAUCUAUCGCUGAGGACACUGUAAAAGGUGGCCAAGGUAAAUGCAGAUGAACCGCUUCUAAUAGUCCAUUGACUUGGACAAUACUUUUAUGAUCUGAUCUCAAAUCAGGUAGGACUACCCGCUGAACUUAAGC
rnacentral:misc_RNA from 1 species